CUUCCAAAUUUCAUCUGAGCUCCUACGAGAAUCGGAUUUUGACCGAACUUCUAUUACGAGCGGUCUACUCUAGAUCUCUACUAUAAGCAAAUUCCAUCCGAGCUUCUAUUGUAAACAAAUUUCUUCAGAACUUCUAUUACAAACAGACUUCAACCGAGCUCCUACAGUGGAUGGAUCCCAAACGAGCUUCUACAACAGGAUA
rnacentral:lncRNA from 1 species